AUGCUCGAGUUGCACAGGAAUAAGUUUUUGUCCUUUGGCUUAUUGAACUCUUCAAUCCUCACUUUGCUGCCCAAGAAAGAGUGUUCCCUGGAAGUGGUUGAUUUCAGACCGAUAAAUUUAAUUCAUGAUGUAGCAAAAAUCUUUGCCAAAGUGUUGGCUGUUCGGCUCGCUCCCCUACUAUCGGCCCUCGUCUCUCAAGUACAGAGUGCGUUCAUAAGCCGUAGGAGCAUGCAUGAGAAUUUU
rnacentral:rRNA from 1 species